rnacentral:rRNA from 1 species
CCUACCAAGACAAUGAUGCAUAGCCGAGUUGAGAGACUGAUCGGCCACAUUGGGACUGAGACACGGCCCAAACUCCUACGGGAGGCUGCAGUAGGGAAUCUUCCACAAUGGGCGAAAGUCUGAUGGAGCAACGCCGCGUGAGUGAAGAAGGUCUUCGGAUCGUAAAACUCUGUUGUUAGAGAAGAACGUGCAUGAUAGUAACUGAUCAUGUAAUGACGGUAUCUAACCAGAAAGCCACGGCUAACUACGUGCCAGCAGCCGCGGUAAUACGUAGGUGGCAAGCGUUAUCCGGAUUUAUUGGGCGUAAAGCGAGCGCAGGCGGUUUUUUAAGUCUGAUGUGAAAGCCCUCGGCUUAACCGAGGAAGCGCAUCGGAAACUGGGAAACUUGAGUGCAGAAGAGGACAGUGGAACUCCAUGUGUAGCGGUGAAAUGCGUAGAUAUAUGGAAGAACACCAGUGGCGAAGGCGGCUGUCUGGUCUGUAACUGACGCUGAGGCUCGAAAGCAUGGGUAGCGAACAGGAUUAGAUACCCUGGUAGUCCAUGCCGUAAACGAUGAAUGCUAGGUGUUGGAGGGUUUCCGCCCUUCAGUGCCGCAGCUAACGCAUUAAGCAUUCCGCCUGGGGAGUACGACCGCAAGGUUGAAACUCAAAGGAAUUGACGGGGGCCCGCACAAGCGGUGGAGCA